rfam:Lactobacillus concavus DSM 17758 NODE_33, whole genome shotgun sequence.
UGAAUUAAGCAGAAGUUCCCGCUUCUCACCCAUGCUUAGAGCCUCUGGGUUUAGACGUUAGUUAAUUUGCUGAUGAACUUUCACGCUGCGGGUGCUUUUGUGCCCGCAGUUUUUUUGCGUU